GACGAACGCUGGCGGCGUGCCUAAUACAUGCAAGUAGAACGCUGAAGGAGGAGCUUGCUUCUCUGGAUGAGUUGCGAACGGGUGAGUAACGCGUAGGUAACCUGCCUGGUAGCGGGGGAUAACUAUUGGAAACGAUAGCUAAUACCGCAUAACAGUAGAUAUCGCAUGAUAUCUACUUGAAAGGUGCAAUUGCAUCACUACCAGAUGGACCUGCGUUGUAUUAGCUAGUUGGUGAGGUAACGGCUCACCAAGGCGACGAUACAUAGCCGACCUGAGAGGGUGAUCGGCCACACUGGGACUGAGACACGGCCCAGACUCCUACGGGAGGCAGCAGUAGGGAAUCUUCGGCAAUGGACGGAAGUCUGACCGAGCAACGCCGCGUGAGUGAAGAAGGUUUUCGGAUCGUAAAGCUCUGUUGUAAGAGAAGAACGAGUGUGAGAGUGGGAAGUUCACACUGUGACGGUAUCUUACCAGAAAGGGACGGCUAACUACGUG
rnacentral:rRNA from 1 species